rfam:Candidatus Magasanikbacteria bacterium RIFOXYC12_FTLL_32_21b rifoxyc3_full_scaffold_3085, whole genome shotgun sequence.
UAUUGUACUAUAUCAGCACCAUAGACAGCAGGCGUCAGAAAUGACUUAAACAUCCUGCCGAGGGAAAAAUUUUACACUUUUUAAUAAAUGUAGUAAAAGGGUCGAUUUCCUAAAAUGUUCUGUGGUUUUUAAACCACUUUUUUUAUUGUCAA